AGCCAUAUGUGUAUGGAAACUGGCAUGCCAGCUGUGGCGCAGUAUAUCUUGAUCCGUAUCAACCACCGAAAACUUGGAUGGACGCUCACAACUUUUGCUGUUCGCUGGGAAUGAGUCUCAUCACGCCAUACAGCGAGGAGAAGAAUUAUUGCCUGCAACAGGAGCUGCUAAAUGGCCUCGGCAAUGGGGAAUACUGGACGUCGGGACGUGACUCCAAAUACUGUCCCGGUCGCUUUAAGUGGUGCUCCCACAAACUGCGUGAUUUCGUAACCUGGAAUUUAGCGAGCAACAAUAAUUCUUGCCUUUUCGUCAACUAUAACGAAGACGCCACCAACAUUGUCUCUUUCGGAACCGCAGACUGUUUCGAAGAGAAAAAGUUCAUUUGCGAGGUCCUUUCAACAGAGGAAAUUCGCAUUAUUUUAAAUUUAAGAUUAUACUUGACAGGGUCGCAGCUCAGUUUACAACUUGGCUGAAUCUUUUACCC